AUCCCAGUCCCUUAAGCUCACGCUGUUCUACAAACCUUCUCCCCUUCUUCAAACGAUAUCUAAACCCUUACUUCUCCAAACUUUGUCACACACGCUUGAGUUCGGAUUUCAGCAGUAACGGUGGUAGUGAAGUCUAUUUCAGCGCGGACGGCAACGAUGAAAUAUGAUUUCAACAUAGAAGGUGAAUGUGAGGUUCAUUUUCAACCGGCUGCCUCAAAUCCCUUUGAAUUCACGACCAAAUCGUUUCGAUUUCCACGGUUUCCCUAGUUCUCGAUCCAUUCACCUUAUUAAACGAAAAGGCUGAAGAUCGUCACUAUAACUCUCUCGAUUGAUCGACUAGGGUUUCUUCAAAUCCAUUAUAUCCAUCGCGAUCUCGCUGCCGCAACCGCCACCGUAUUUUGUAUGAUUGUUGUUUAUACCCUUACGGGAAUUGGAAAUUUGAAGUUAUCAAACAGACAGAAGAUGUUUUGGAGAAAAUUUGGGGAUGAGGAAUGUGUUUCUUAUUCAUUUUGUUUUCUUAGAGAAGUAAGGUUCAUUGGUUAUAUAUUACACAACUUUUCAUUGCCUACAUAUGAGUUUUGGCGAGGAAUCACACAUGGGCUAUAACAUCAUAUUGUUGGUUGUUUGUUCAGUUAGGAGCUUAAUAUAGUUAACUUGAUUUUCCCCUAUCAAGCAAGUUUUACUACCAAUGCUGGUAAAAAUUUGGAACAAUAUAGUUGAGGAAUGGAUGACGAUAUAAAUUUUGAGAUGUUUCUCAACACAUGGAGUGCAAAGAAUCCAACGGAUCGUAUUUUCAUUAUAUAUUGCUUAGUCGCUCACAAUCUCUCGCUCGAUACCCGCUUUCAGAACCUAUGUCCCUUUUGUUGAAACGUAGCUCCCGGUACGGUGUUCAUUGAAUCAAACUUUCGCUCUCGACAUGAAAUUGCUUAUGCACAAGCACUUGAAAAGCUGGUUGGCACAUGUGAUUAUCUCUUGCAACUGAUAUGGGUGAAUCAGGCUCUUGAAAUCAACUCUAAUUGUUUAUACAAUCCAUGUUAGGACUCACGCAAUUAAGUUGGCAUCACUUACAAUAGAGGUAUAGAGGUAUAAAGAUAUUAAACAAAGAAACCUUGGAAAGAAUCGAGAGAUUGACGAACAUACAGCAGAGGAGAAAUAUAUAUGCAGUUUCUUGUAAAAAGUUUGACGGGUAUGAAGAUGCAUAUAACAUUAAUGUAAAUACAAGUUAAUUCUUUUGAAAUAUUUUUUUAGGAUUGAUGACAAACCACCCCCUUUAUUUUUAAGUAAAUUUUCAACACAAAAUUGCUUUUUUGUUUCACUCCUAGUGUCAUCCAAACCGUAUUGAAUUUUCAUUUAGGGGGGGGGGGAAAUUUUCAUUUCAUGAUUCAAAAUUUAAUUGCAGAAACAACGGAGACUUAAAAUCAUCUGCUGAUGGUAGACGUUUACCUGACAUAAUGAUACUUAUUAUUAUAAGAUUAGGAUUUGGUAUGUUUUUCGAUUUUUUGUACUAAAUGACAUCAUUAUGGAACUCACUUUUUUUUAUGCUUAUUUGAUAUUAAGUGUUUUUUCUUGGAAUAAAUUUUAUUAUGUUAAACAGUGAUAGAAAAUAAAAUAAAAAAUAAUACUAUAAAUAAAAAUAUUAUAAUAGAAAAAAAUUAAAGAAAAAUAUACUAUAUUUAAAUAAAAAAUAUAAUACAAAAGAUAAAAUUUAAUAAUAGUUUAAACUGUUGUUAAAUUUUAAAAUGAAAUAAUUAGUAGCGCUUUAAACCGUUACCAAAUAAAUUGUAUCUAAAAUUUAUAAAUCAUAUUAUGAUAGUUUCAACCAUCGCAAACAAAGAAAACAAAAUUCAGACAUAUUUACGACAGUUUCAAUAGUUGGGAUAUCACAUUCACGACAGUUUUAAACCGUCGCGAAUAACAACGAAAACGGUUGUUAACAGUCGCUAUCUCUAAUUUACGUCAGUUCCAACCUGUCGUAAACUAGCGCGAUGGUUUUGGCAAUUGUUGUGAAACGGGUUCGGGACACGUUUCUGCAACGGUACUACUACCGUCGUAGACUAUAAACUGUGGCUGUUUUAACCGUCGUAAUCUACUAAAAUAAUCUGCCAAUAUUUUUUUGUAGUGUAAAAAAAAAAAUAGGACAUCUUUAAUCCUUAAUUGAAUUAAUUUUUAUUUAGAAUUUAGAAUUUUUUUUUUGUCUAUGACCUGCAAAUCCGACUCAAUUCAACUUGUUGAUACUGAAUGGUUUGAUUUAGUGUUGAACACUCUACCUAAAUUAAGAACCAUUGAGUAAUAAUUUAGAUACUGAGUUAGAUCAAAUUCAGUCAAACUACAACAUCCUUAUGAGUUAUGACAUACGGGAACAUUUAAAAUCGACAAUUAAUAGUUUGAGACAAAUUUAUUUUUACAAAUAUAAAAAAGACUAUUAAAUUUUUUAAUGAGUAUUUCUUUAUUAAUAUAUAGGAAAUUUCUGUCCCCACCUCCCUCUUUUCUUGGUCACCUCUGGUGAAAAAUCCAAAAUA